GUGAACUAAACACACAAGAAGUCAAAUGAAAGAGUAACGUCUGGAAAGGCUUCCUUUAAUACAAGGUAUUAAUA
rfam:Clostridium sp. DMHC 10 contig_15, whole genome shotgun sequence.